rnacentral:rRNA from 1 species
GCUCUUGCAUCGAUGAAGAACGUAGCGAAAUGCGAUACUUGGUGUGAAUUGCAGAAUCCCGUGAACCAUCGAGUCUUUGAACGCAAGUUGCGCCCGAAGCCAUUAGGCCGAGGGCACGCCUGCCUGGGUGUUGCACAUCGUUGCCCCAUGCCUUGACCACGU